rnacentral:misc_RNA from 1 species
GAAUAUUCGAACUCAGAUGCAGGUAUAUGUCUUGCUCAGUUCAUACCUCAACAAAGAUAUGCUUUGUUGUCAGUUGUCACUCGUUUGUUUCUGGGUUUUGAUAAACAGUGGACAUGUUCAGUGCAUGUCCAUGUGUGCUACAUGAUAUCAUAAUCCUGCUUCACUCAUGUCUAACAAAAUGCUUGUGCACGCAAAUUCUAACUGAUUUACAACAUUUUGUAAUAUUCUCUGGA